GCCUGCCUCUCAGUUAGCGACGCGCCGCCUUACUCUGUCCGUUCAUCCAUGUCCUCUGACGGUGCGAGUCCGCCGGAAGCCGCGUCUGUGUCUACCAUCGAGGUAAAUCAUUUGAUCGAUCACAGUUGUAAUUUGUAAACCCUAAACCCAAACAACAAUUGCUAUUGCUACUGUAUCUAUCUAUCAAUCUCACUUUGUGAAUUCAAUUCAAUUCAGAUUCAGAUUCAAACACUGCAUAUUGACAUGGAUCGAGAUUUGAUAAUUGAAAUCCUUUUGAGGUUGCCGGUGAAGUCUAUUGUACGAUUCAAGGCUGUGUGUAAGUUAUGGAGAUCUCUCAUAUCCGAUCCCCUCUUUGCAUCAUUACAUUUUCAACGUGCUGCUCCUUCACUCCUUUUCGCUGACUCUCAUGCCAUUCGAACCAUUGACUUNNNNN
rnacentral:lncRNA from 1 species